UAGCUCAGCGGUAGAGCAGGAGACUCUUAAUCUCUUGGUCCAGGGUUCGAAUCCCUG
rnacentral:tRNA from 1 species